rnacentral:hammerhead_ribozyme from 1 species
CGCUAGCUGACGAGUCCCAAAUAGGACGAAAUGCGCAUCCUGGAU